UACGGGGGGGGGCAAGCGUUUGUUCGGAAUUACUGGGCGUAAAGCGCGUGUAGGCGGCUUAGCAAGUCGGGCGUGAAAGCCCUCGGCUCAACCGAGGAAGUGCACCCGAAACUGCUGAGCUUGAGUGCCGGAGAGGAUGGCGGAAUACCCCAAGUAGAGGUGAAAUUCGUAGAUAUGGGGUGGAACACCGGUGGCGAAGGCGGCCAUCUGGACGGUAACUGACGCUGAGACGCGAAAGCGUGGGUAGCAAACAGG
rnacentral:rRNA from 1 species